GUGAGGAAUAUUGGUCAAUGGGCGGGAGCCUGAACCAGCCAAGUCGCGUGAGGGAUGACGGUCCUACGGAUUGUAAACCUCUUUUGCCGGGGAGCAAGCGUGCGUUCGUGAACGCGCGUCGAGAGUACCCGGAGAAAAAGCAUCGGCUAACUCCGUGCCAGCAGCCGCGGUAAUACGGAGGAUGCGAGCGUUAUCCGGAUUUAUUGGGUUUAAAGGGUGCGUAGGCGGGAUGCCAAGUCAGCGGUAAAAAUGCGGUGCUCAACGCCGUCGAGCCGUUGAAACUGGCGUUCUUGAGUGGGCGAGAAGUAUGCGGAAUGCGUGGUGUAGCGGUGAAAUGCAUAGAUAUCACGCAGAACUCCGAUUGCGAAGGCAGCAUACCGGCGCCCUACUGACGCUGAGGCACGAAAGCGUGGGUAUCGAACAGG
rnacentral:rRNA from 1 species